CGGAGCCGGAGCGGCGCGGGCGGCGGCGCAUCGAUGCGCUGCGGGCUCGAUUGCGUCUCCCUGGGCCAGCUCUUGGGCCGGGAAUGGGGCGGGGCGGGGCUGGCUCCGGGCGCUGCCGGGCGGCAGUGGUGGGGGUGCGGGGGCGGCCGCCAGGCCCACGGUCCCCGAGGUGGCGCUGCUCCUGGGCGCGCCGGCUGGGGCCCGGGGACUCCCUUGGGCCCCGCGUCUGUUAGUCCCGGCGAGGGCCGGAGCCCUGCGCCCUGGGACUGGCUGCCUGAGCGUUCCGGGAGCUGCAAACCCCGGCCUCUUUCCUUCCUUUUUUCCUUCCUUCCUUCUUUACUUCCUUCCUUCCUUUUUUUUAUGUUUCCUUUUCUUGUGUUUCUUUUCCCCUUUUCUUCUGCCCCCUCUGUAUCUUUUUUUCUUUGUGAUUGUUUAUGCAAGUUUGUUUUAAAAGUUCACAGGCAUGCUUUCUUUUCUUUUAGACAAGGAGACCGUGAUCUCACCCAGACGGUAAGAUCAAAAGUCUCCGCUCGCCCCCAGCCUGCGGGCUUGGGCUCGGUCCAGACGCCUCCUUGAAUGCAGAUGUGCUGCUGCCGUCCUCCCGGGCUAUAAAGCCGCCUCCAGCGCCUUCGCGCGCGCAGGAGCACUCGGAGUUGCGGGGUGCGGACCCCGGGCGGUUGCGGGGGAGUCGGAAUCAGGCUGCGGCUGGGCUCCUGGGCUGGUCUUGUGUGUGGCGGACUCGGGGGCGGGAGCGCGGCGAGCAGCUGGUGCCUGCGGCGGCAGAGGCUAGAGCGACUGCCCCUCCAGGCCCGGGAGAGGGAGACGCGGCCGUGGGGCGUGAAACGCUUCUUGCGAACGAGGAAACGGCCUCACCUGUCGGCCAGGACAAAUGAGACUUGAAAAUGGGCCAGAGUCAUUCUCCAACAGUGAAAUUUGUCAAGGAGUCACUCCCGUCUCAAAUGUCCAGAAAAGCUAGCAGCUGCCUCUCGAGGAUGGCGCUAUCUAGGGCACGUCACGUCGUUGAGAGUCAAGAAGGUGGACAGUUAAGUAGUGACUGGAAUGUGCACCAUCCAGGUCAGAUGGAAAGUAGAAGCCUGGAAGAUCUGACACUCUCAUUGAUUUGCUCUCUGCCAUCACUACUCACGAGAGGAAGAAAUGUGACUUCAAAAUUGCAAUUAGGAACCAGCCCGCUAAGGGUUCCUUGCGCGAGCUCCCCUGCUGUGCUGAUCACAGGCCUGCCUCUUCUCACUUCCUGAGGAACGUCUGAUUGUGCUGCCCUCACCUCUCUUCUGGUGAUGAUGUGAGAUGAUAAAGUGACCCCGUGAUGAGAUGAAGUGGGCAUUGUGACGGAGCAUUUGCGACUAGGGGCUUCCUGUCCCUACAUCAGCAGGAUCAACUGCUUCAGGAACAUGCUUGACCUCGAAUAACUGAAACCACAGAAAGCAGAACCGCGGAUAAGGGGGCUUCUCUAAUAUCUCUAGUAUUUUCGCAGAAUGACUUCUCUGCAGGAAAAUCUCUAUAAAACUUACUUUUUUUUGGAAUGCAAAGUUGUUUUGCUAUUAUGAAAAACGCCACUGUGAGCACACUCAUGUGUUGUGCACACGCGUGGAAGAGCCCGUCCAUGAUACGUAUAUGGGAAGUGACGUUGCUCGGUCAUCCGGCGUGGAGAUCUACAACUCCAACUGUUCUCCAAAGAGAUGAUGUCACUUUUCACUCCCGGAAGCUAUUUUUAAGUCUUUCCAUUGUUCUAGCUCCUUGUCAGUCUAUGAUAUUAUUAGCUUUUCCCCCCCUCGUUUUUCAUGCUUCCUAAUCUAGGGAUUGUGGUUGCUGUCUCCCUGUGUUUAGCUUGCGUCCCCAUGAAUGCCAAAGAGAUUGAGCACUUGGUAUGUGUGUGGUCCCUUGGAUUUCCUUUUCGUGAGGACCCUGUCCGAGUCCUUUUCCCGUUUUCUGUUGGAGGUACGUGUCCUGUUGUUUCACAGAUGUUGUUUCAAGUUGCUUCGUCACCUGAAAUGGUUCAAGGAGAUCCCUAAGUGCACUCCUGAGGAUGCUUUAGUCGGCAGGUGAUAUAGCCGCCGACUCACACUGGCUUAAGGAAAUUGUCUAGUGGUGAAUUCUGGCUCGAAUAUACAAGCAGAAACCCGUUUGCUCCGCCCUCUGACCCCUCAGCUCUGUGUUCUCAGCGUCCCCUCAUCCUCAGUGGUCUCGUGAUUUCAAGAGAGCCUCAAAUGGUGAGUAGGACAUCUUGCUUCUUUGUCCACAUCCAGCAGAAAAGAGAAUCAGAAACUUCUCACUGAUCCACGUGAUCUCCAUCCUUCCUUUCAGUUUUCAGCGCUCCAUUCUGCGGACCGGUCGCGGUCACCAGGGAAUGCCAUGCCUUGACCGGGUUCAUGAGCAUCCCUUGCAGGAGAAGAUGAUAAAGGAUGGGGGGGGAGGGUCACCCUCAAAUGGCCAACACAUUGACUACCAAGGCUGCAGGUUUCUAAAACUCAUUUUUUAAAUUUUCAUAGAGAAAAAUUCGCUCUUUCAGUAUACAGGUCUCUGAGUCUUGACAAAUUUAUAGUCAUGGAACCACCACCACAACUAACGUUUGGAAUGGCUCCAUCACCCUGAAACACGACCUUACUGUUCUUUUGUAGUCCGCGGUCCUCCUGCCCUUCACUCCCCCAUCCCCCACUCUUGGAAGCACUGAUCCGUCCUUCCUCCCUAUAGUUUUGCCUUUUCCAAAAUGUGAUAUAAAUGGAAUUAUACAGGAUGUCACCUUUGAGUCUGCCUUAUUCACUUAAUAUAAUGAAUUUGAGAUUGACUGACCCAUAUGUGGAGCGUAUCUGUAUUUUGUAUAGAGGUCCCACUGUGUGUUUUUGCACCCACAGCCGAAGGGCAACUGAGUUGUUUCUAGUUUGGGGGUGAUAAUGAAUAAAGCUGCCCGAAACAGGGACACACAGGUUUUGCGUGAACAUAUGUUUCCAUUUCUCCUGGGUCUCAACUCCCAGAAGUGGGAUCGCUGAAUGCUGGGUCGUGUGUUAAGAGUAUGUUUCACUCUCUCAGAAGCUGCCAAACUGUUUUCCAAGGUGGCUGUAUCAGUUUGCAGCCCCACCAGCAAGGACUGAGAGUUCUUUCGCUUCUAAAGAGGUUUUAAUGGGCAUGGAAGUGUUUUGCGGAGAGUGAGGGCGCUACACAGGGCACCGACGUGGGGGCGUUCAGAGCUGUGAUUUCCAAACUCUCUGCUCCUGUAGGCUCCUCGCGCAUCCUGCUGUGUGCCGACGGGACGUUUCUAUUUCCAGGGCGUUUGCUUCUCUGAAGGGAGACAGGGAAGCAUCAUUCUACCCAUCUUACAAAUGAGCGCAUAGCACAGCCUCUCUCUCUUGAUCCAGCCUGGCUUUAGCUAGUAUCAUCAGGAGCAAGAUUCCAUGGCUUCAGGUUUUAUUCCAAAACCCACAAAGCAAAAUGAAGUACGGGCAUCUGGAGCAUUGUGAUGCUGUGUGGCAAGAAGGAGGCAAAGGAACCCAUCCAAAUGCGCAAUCGGAAUGUCAGAGCUGGCAAGGGAUGUGAGCAACUCUCACUUCAGAUGCAGGAACCUAUCACACAUCUGGGUCCCUAAGCCCGGGACUACGCCUCCCGGAUGCAGGGCAGGGUCCCACCAAAGGGGAGCUGGAACAGGCUUAUGAGUCAGGGUCCCUGUGUGCUCAGGAGCAGGGAUCAGGCUGACCUGCUGGGGAGCUGGGGCCGUAGCCCCUGCUUACAGCCCCCACACCUCCUCUUCUUUCAUCUGAGUGCCCAUCUCGAAGGCACCUUCACAUUCCAAACGUCCUGAGAAUAUGUUUAAUUAGAACUUGGCCAUACAGCCUUUUAAAAUAAAACAGAAGGGACCAGCUAAUUAUAUCGCUCAGCAUUCUGUGGCAAACAUAUAUUUUUUUAAUAAAACACUUUCCUAACCAGAGUAAUCCCUGGAGAUGCAAAUCCUCAUUUAUAAGAAGUUUCCCAAAGGGAGUUUAGGAGAAGAUGCCCUUAUAAAGGAAAGAGACAAAGAAAGUGGGGAAAUGUCUUCAAAGAGCUUUUAAAAGCUACACUCAUUCUAAGGUUGAGCUAUUUUAAAGAUGCAAAUUUUUAUUUCAAAUGUCUUAUAAUUCUUCCCAGUAUUUUUGAUAAUUUAUAUCCCUUC